rnacentral:lncRNA from 1 species
GAAAGGGGUAGCAAGACGGCAGAGGAUAAGCCUGGCUCAGUGUGCUCACCAGCUGCUAGCCUGGAGAAGCUGGAAACCAAGAGGGGAGGUUGACAGGAGCAAAGAAUGCCAGUGGCCUCCAUCUGUAACCACUAUGCCUUCUGGCCAUGACCUCAGAGGAUUUGAACAGUCCUUGAAUCUUCACUGGCCUCAGCGUAAGAGAGAAACUCCCAAAACCAAGAGGAUGAAAAUGAAACCCAAAGAUGCCUGGACUUCUCCCUCACCCUGGAACCAGUUAUAUCCUGCCUAGUGGAGUCCUGAAUGAAGGAGGCCUCCUCAUCCCCUACUCCAGAAUGCAGGUUGUAUCUUCUUCUGUUAACUCUCUCUAAAUUGUUUCUGAUGCCUAAACUAAUUU